UUUUUUUUUAGCAGGACCAACCUCGAUUCCUCUCUUACAAUGAACCCCAUCAGCUUACCGGCCCGCACUCUGAUAGUGCACUUGUCUGAAGUCAACCUCCGUUUGAAUUGUCUCAAACAGUUCACUCAGCUUGGUCAGAUCCACCAGAUGCCCCUCUUCUGCUUGGGACUUUGCUAUCAUGUCAUCAACAUAGCAUUUGAUUCCAC
rnacentral:lncRNA from 1 species